GUGUAAACCGGGCCAGGGUUGCAUCAUGAGCGGGCUCGGGUUUUCGAUUGCACCCUUCGUAAUACCUCAGCAUCAGUCUGCACGAGCUCAGGAGCCCGGGAGCUACGAAGGGCAGGCUCAAGGGAGCGCCACCAAAUCCUUUGGGGUGGGGGGACUUGAAUGGCAGCCGAUAGCUAAUAAGCCAGUGUUCUGCUGAUUCACAAUUAUGGAGACUGUGUAAUUGAAGAUAGAAGAGAGGUCUGAAGAAAAAGGAUUUGCCUGCGUUGCUUCUGAAUGUGCUGGACCUGGAACCCUGGACCUUGUGCAUGCUAGCAAGGUUUAUCUGCUGAAAUUUCAUCUUGGGAAGUGCCAAGACCCUGGCCUGGCCUGGAAUCUUACUUUAUCUUCUGUGAGGCUCCCUGUCCCAGAGCCAGCUACACUUUAAGGAAGAUAGGGGACUACUGACAAGAUAAAAACCUUCCAUCUUGGUGGAAAGCUCCUCAAGAUACAGGCUGGUCUUAGAGGAAGUGAAACAUUCCAUCCUGCUGGGAAGCUCUCUAAGCCCAUAAGGUAAACAACUCACAGGAUUUAGGAACUCCCUGAAACUGAUCAGAUUAGGUCUCUCCCUCCUCAAGCCUGUAUAAGCAGUAAGGUUGAAAGCCCCUUCAGACAAGCUGAGCUACCUAGAAGAGGCACAGAGCAGGUGAACCAUCUGGAACAGAGACCACCCAAGCUACCUUGAAGAAACACAGACCAGCUGAGCUGUCUGUAGGUUGUCUAUGCUGUGUGCUCUAGGUUUUCAGCUUUUAUGAGCUGUCACCUAUACUGUGGUGGGCUUUUAGUGAUGCAACUGUGUUUAGUCAUUUCUGCUCCUUAAGUAGGCCUUCACCCACAUUCUUAAAAGUAACCCCAAUAAAACUCAUUGGUUUAACAGUAUGGAAUUUGGUAGUAUCCAUUUGGUCUGUUGUUAGUUCCCUAUGUGGAUUGCAUCAAUGCUGUUUAUGUUUCCCCAGGACUAGUGUCACCCAGCAUCUCAAAAGCAGGCUGGGUAAUGUUCAGGGUAGCUCAGAUUGUCUUGUGAUCAUACAAAACAAAAUGUAUAUUAGAGGAUGUCCCUCAGUAGUAGAGUAACUGUGUUGCACGUCAAAAUCCUUGACUGGGUUUCAGGUGAG
rnacentral:lncRNA from 1 species